GAUGAAGAACGUAGCGAAAUGCGAUAAGUAAUGUGAAUUGCAGAAUUCAGUGAAUCAUCGAAUCUUUGAACGCACCUUGCGCCUUUUGGUAUUCCGAAAGGCACACCUGUUUGAGCGUCAUGAAUACCUCAAUCUCCAUCUUUUCUUCGGAUUGAUGGGUGACUUGGAUGUUGAACCCUGCUGGUAUGCUAUAUCAGCUGGCUUUAAACUUAUUAGCCGGCUCUGUACUGGAUCGGUUUGACUCGACGUGAUAAUAUUAUCGUUGAGGAUGCAUGUCUCAUGCAGCCGGAAAGUAUCAAAGCAGCUUCUAGCUUGCCUUUAGUGCACUUUUACAUUUUAGACCUCAGAUCAGGUGGGACUACCCGCUGAACUUAAGCAUAUCAAUAAGCGGAGGA
rnacentral:misc_RNA from 1 species